rnacentral:rRNA from 1 species
AACGAACGCUGGCGGCAUGCCUAACACAUGCAAGUCGAACGAGACCUUCGGGUCUAGGGGCGCACGGGUGCGUAACGCGUGGGAACCUGCCCUUAGGUUCGGAAUAACUCCCCGAAAGGGGUGCUAAUACCGGAUAAUGUCUUCGGACCAAAGAUUUAUCGCCUUUGGAUGGGCCCGCGUUGGAUUAGCUAGUUGGUAGGGUAAAAGCCUACCAAGGCGACGAUCCAUAGCUGGUCUGAGAGGAUGAUCAGCCACACUGGGACUGAGACACGGCCCAGACUCCUACGGGAGGCAGCAGUGGGGAAUAUUGGGCAAUGGGCGAAAGCCUGAUCCAGCAAUGCCGCGUGAGUGAUGAAGGCCUUAGGGUUGUAAAGCUCUUUUACCCGGGAUGAUAAUGACAGUACCGGGAGAAUAAGCUCCGGCUAACUCCGUG